rnacentral:rRNA from 1 species
GAUGAACGCUGGCGGCGUGCCUAAUACAUGCAAGUCGAGCGAACAGACGAGGAGCUUGCUCCUCCGACGUUAGCGGCGGACGGGUGAGUAACACGUGGAUAACCUACCUAUAAGACUGGGAUAACUUCGGGAAACCGGAGCUAAUACCGGAUAAUAUAUUGAACCGCAUGGUUCAAUAGUGAAAGACGGUUUUGCUGUCACUUAUAGAUGGAUCCGCGCCGCAUUAGCUAGUUGGCAAGGUAACGGCUUACCAAGGCAACGAUGCGUAGCCGACCUGAGAGCGUGGUCGGCUAGACUGGAACUGAGACACGGUCCAGACUCCUACGGUAGGCAGCAGUAGGGAAUCUUCCGCAAGGGGGGAAAGCCUGACGGAGCAACGCCGCGUGAGUGAUGAAGGUCUUCGGAUCGUAAAACGCUGUUAUUAGGGAAGAACAAAUGUGUAAGUAACUAUGCACGUCUUGACGGUACCUAAUCAGAAAGCCACGGCUAACUACGUG